CUACGUGCCAGCAGCCGCGGUAAUACGUAGGUCCCGAGCGUUGUCCGGAUUUAUUGGGCGUAAAGCGAGCGCAGGCGGUUUGAUAAGUCUGAAGUUAAAGGCUGUGGCUCAACCAUAGUUCGCUUUGGAAACUGUCAAACUUGAGUGCAGAAGGGGAGAGUGGAAUUCCAUGUGUAGCGGUGAAAUGCGUAGAUAUAUGGAGGAACACCGGUGGCGAAAGCGGCUCUCUGGUCUGUAACUGACGCUCAUGUGCGAAAGCGUGGGGAGCAAACAGGAUUAGAUACCCUGGUAGUCCACGCUGUAAACGAUGUCGAUUUGGGGGUUGAGCUUUGAGCUUGGCGCCCGUAGCUAACGUGAUAAAUCGACCGCCUGGGGAGUACGGCCGCAAGGUUAAAACUCAAAUGAAUUGACGGGGGCCCGCACAAGCGGUGGAGCAUGUGGUUUAAUUCGAUGCAACGCGAAGAACCUUACCUACUCUUGACAUCCAGAGAACAUUC
rnacentral:rRNA from 1 species